rnacentral:rRNA from 1 species
GUGCCAGCCGCCGCGGUAAUACGGAGGGUGCAAGCGUUACUCGGAAUUACUGGGCGUAAAGAGCGUGUAGGCGGGUUAAUAAGUCAGAUGUGAAAGCCUGUGGCUCAACCAUAGAACUGCAUUUGAAACUGUUAACCUAGAAUAUGGGAGAGGUAGAUGGAAUUUCUGGUGUAGGGGUAAAAUCCGUAGAGAUCAGAAGGAAUACCGAUUGCGAAGGCGAUCUACUGGAACAUUAUUGACGCUGAGACGCGAAAGCGUGGGGAGCAAACAGGAUUAGAUACCCGAGUAGUCC